rnacentral:rRNA from 1 species
UAGGGAAUCUUCGGCAAUGGACGGAAGUCUGACCGAGCAACGCCGCGUGAGUGAAGAAGGUUUUCGGAUCGUAAAGCCCUGUUGUUAGAGAAGAACGGUGGUAGGAGGGGAAAAUCUACCAAGUGACGGGAACUAACCAGAAAGGGACGGCUAACUACGUGCCAGCAGCCGCGGUAAUACGUAGGUCCCGAGCGUUGUCCGGAUUUAUUGGGCGUAAAGCGAGCGCAGGCGGUUCUUUAAGUCUGAAGUUAAAGGCAGUGGCUUAACCAUUGUACGCUCUGGAAGCUGGAGGACUUGAGUGCAGAAGGGGAGAGUGGAAUUCCAUGUGUAGCCGUGAAAUGCGUAGAUAUAUGGUGAUACACCGGUCGCGAAAGCGCCUAUCUGGUCUGUAGCUGACGCUGAGGCUCGAAAGCGUGGGGAGCAAACAGG